AUUGAACGCUGGCGGCAGGCCUAACACAUGCAAGUCGAGCGGAGCGGCGGACGGGUGAGUAAUGCCUAGGAAUCUGCCUGGUAGUGGGGGAUAACGUCCGGAAACGGGCGCUAAUACCGCAUACUAUCAGAUGAGCCUAGGUCGGAUUAGCUAGUUGGUGGGGUAAAGGCCUACCAAGGCGACGAUCCCUAGCUGGUCUGAGAGGAUGACCAGCCACACUGGAACUGAGACACGGUCCAGACUCCUACGGGAGGCAGCAGUGGGGAAUAUUGCACAAUGGGCGCAAGCCUGAUGCAGCCAUGCCGCGUGUGUGAAGAAGGCCUUCGGGUUGUAAAGCACUUUCAGCGGGGAGGCGUUACCCGCAGAAGAAGCACCGGCUAACUCCGUGCCAGCAGCCGCGGUAAUAC
rnacentral:rRNA from 1 species